CGGGACGGGUGAGUAAUGUCUGGGAAACUGCCUGAUGGAGGGGGGUAACUACUGGAAACGGUAGCUAAUACCGCAUAACGUCGCAAGACCAAAGAGGGGGACCUUCGGGCCUCUUGCCAUUGGAUGUGCCCAGAUGGGAUUAGCUAGUAGGUGGGGUAACGGCUCACCUAGGCGACGAUCCCUAGCUGGUCUGAGAGGAUGACCAGCCACACUGGAACUGAGACACGGUCCAG
rnacentral:rRNA from 1 species